AUUCAUUCACAAGCUCUACAGUACAGAGCGCGUUUGAAUCGUUGCGGCGAGCUCUGCGUGUCGGAUGAAGUGGGCGUCACCAACCAACUGAGCUUAAGGGAAAGUCUGUAUGCGGACCUGUGACUCCACAUGAAUGAGUCAAGUGAAGAACAUACAUGAGAGCACUAUUGCAAAGAAAUUAAGAAGAGGAAGAAGUGGGCAUUUUGAACACACUCAGUGGAACUUGCUCGUGCGCAUUUGCGCAAACUCUCCAAAGUGACUUGGUAACUUGCGCAGAUGCGCAGCUCCAGUCUUUGGACUCAGUCUCAUUCUCAACCCAGGGGUCACCGUCUAUGUAUCUCCUCUGGGGUCUGGUCCUUCGCGGCCCUCCCAUGCAGUUCUGUGGGAACUUGACCAGUCAUCUGAGCAGAUAUGAGAGGCAUGUGGGGAGAGGAAAUGGUGGUUUGGUGACUCAGCGUCAUGAAACGUUCCAUUGGCCUUUGGUUCUCCUUAGCUCUUUGAGUCAUCUGCAUCCCUGUGGUCCUGUGAGAUGGGUGUGUUAGUGAGGGGGAGGAAAGUUUUGCUUUCUUCUGUUUCUGCUCCAUUCGUUUCGGGCUUGUAUUGUUUAGUGCUGGGCGUGCGUCUGUCAGGAGAGACAGUGAAUGGUCACACUGGAAGAGACUGUAAAUGGCGACUUCCUCCUGCAGAAUGACAUCUGACAUGAACCACAACGCUUGACGUCCGUCGUUCAGUGAGCUCAAAGUUUUUAUCCUGCCUUCAUCCUUGGGAGUUUAACAUGAGUUUAAUAUGGGAGUCUGGUUGGAUAAAUAAGAACAAAGACUUUUGAAUGAAGAAGUGCUUUUUAUGAAAUCUUUUGUAAUUAAAUGCAUGCACUUUCUGUGUAAAUACACUUUAGGUUGUUACAGUUUUGUAUAUGCCAAAAUUUCUAUUAAUGCAUUGAAAUCUUUAUUGGACAUUGAUAUCAUUUCUCAUAUUUUAUAAACCAAUAAGCCAUUUGAAAUCGUGCAUUACAAAGGGGAUUUGAGUAAUGCAAAAGAAAACCCCCAAGCUGAAAGUCAGAUCUUCAUGAAAUUGCAACCCUGCGGUGGUUUUCUUCUGUAAAAACAGUCAUUACUCGACCUAAACUUGAGAUAUUCUUGAAUGCACAAUUAUUUAUUGUCACUCCAAAGUCAUUCGGGUUUGUAAAUGCAAACAGUAGCCCGGCUGUGCCCGAUAUCACUGAAGUCGGUGAAGUUCAAAUGAACACCGAUCACCGGCAAUAAAUGUUUCCUUGAAAAAAACGA